rnacentral:ncRNA from 1 species
CACAGGCUUGGUCCUGGCCUUACUGUCGGCUCUAGUUAAAAUUACACAUGCAAGUAUCUGCACACCCGUGAGGAUUCCCACAGCCACCUAUGUGGUGACGUGGAGUAGGUAUCAGGCACGACCACUCAGCCCAAGACACCUUGUUCAACCACACCCCCAAGGGUACUCAGCAGUGAUAAACAUUAAGCCAUAAGCGAAAGCUUUACUCAGUUAAGACUAAGAGGGCUGGUAAAGCCCGUGCCAGCCACCGCGGUUACACGGACAGCCCAAGUUGACAGACUGACGGCGUAAAGGGUGGUUAGGGAGAUAUAUAAACUAAAGCCGAAGAUCCCCAAGACUGUAGUACGUCACCUCGGAGGAAAGAAGAUCAACUACGAAAGUGGCUUUACAACACCUGACCCCACGAAAGCCAGGGCACAAACUGGGAUUAGAUACCCCACUAUGCUUGGCCCUAAACAUUGAAUAAAUUUAACCAAUUUGUUCCGCCUGAGAAUUACGGACACUAGCCUAAAAAUCAAAGGACUUGGCGGUGCUUUAAACCCCCCUAGAGGAGCCUGUCCUAUAACCGAUAAUCCCCGUUAAACCUCACCUUCUCUAGCCUUAUCCACCUAUAUACCGCCGUCGUCAGCUUACCCUGAGAAGGGAAAGUAGUAUGCAAAGUUGGCACAGCCCAAAACGUCAGGCCGAGGUGUAGUAAAUGAGAAGGGAAGAGAUGGGCUACAUUUGCUAAAUACAAGCAAACACGGAUGAAUUAUUGAAACAUAAUACUGAAGGAGGAUUUAGUAGUAAGGGGGAAGCAGAGUGCCCCCCUGAAACCGGCCCUGAAGCGCGCACACACCGCCCGUCACCCUCACCAAGCACAAGCACGUCAAUAACUAAUACAUUAUCUUGCACAAGGGGAGGAAAGUCGUAACAUGGUAAGUGUACCGGAAGGUGUACUUGGAAAAUA